ACUGAACAGAAAACCAUAAACACACAACACUCUCAAUGCAUAUAGAAAAAAAUCACUCACUCUCCAUCAUUAGCGUACACUCCCAUUUUUCUUUUCAAUUCCAAAUACACACAGAUUUUAUGAAACCACUACCUAUAUAUACAUAGACUCCAAUUCCCAUCUAGUAACAGAUAAAAAACUCACAAAAUCAGUAGAAAAAAAAAGACGGACAGAGUAGAGAACACAGAGAGUUGAUCGGAAAAGGGGUUGAACGGAGGUUAGCUGGGUGUUGAGUUUUUCGGCGAUUUAUUCCCCGGAAUCGUCCAUCCAUUGCCGGACUCAGUCGCCUCAAACCCGAAAUCCACCUUCACGUGGCGGGAACUACCAAACCCGACCAAAAACCACUCAUAAAACCUCUGAAGAUUAACCCCAUCCCAGUUUUCAGCGAACUCCAUCGGACAAAAACGAAACAGAUCUGUCUGCGUGCUGAAUUAUGCGCGGUUUGUUCUUUAUUUUGUAAUUUUUAGCUUGGGCUAUCGAAAAAGUAGCUGGGGGUGCGAAAUUGGUUCGGGCUUAUCUUCGUCGUGCAGUUUUCCAAUUUGGGUCGAUUGAAAAAUAGAAAAGAGGGCUAUUCCGAGUUGGGUUCAAUUCGAAGUCAAAAUUUGGUUCAAGAUUGUUCGAUUGAGGUUCAGAUUUGAGGUUUUCGAAUUCGGUUCCAUUUUUUAAUCGUGAAAUUUGGCAUAUAAAAGCUCAUUUAAGGUCUAAUUCUUCAACUCUCUUUUCGUUUUAUUUCAAUUUGGUAGAUUGAUGUUGUGAUUGUUAUUGGUGGUUGUGCCUGGAUGAUCUUGUUGAUGUUUUAUAUUGUUUAUCCAUGAAUAAUUAAUCAUGGCAUAAAUUUGAAUAAUUAAUCGCGGUAUAAAUUUGAUGUUGCAUGAGUUUGGAUAAUGCUUUGUGUGAAAAGUGACGCAUAAAAGGGAAUUUGGGGUGGAAUUGAGAAAUUAAUAAAAAGGUUGAAUUUAAAUUAACUUUGAUUUAUUGUUGUUUUGUUUAAUUCAGAAUGAGCAUGAUGUUGAAUGUGUUGGAAUUAUAAUAAGUCAAAACGAAUAGGCAAAAUGGUACGCUUGGGUAGGCAAAUUUAGGAAUGGUGUUUUGUUAAAUGUUUGAAUGUUUAAAAUUUUUUUGAACGUUUUGUUUUUCUCGUAUUUGGAAAUGUAUUCAUUUGGCCGGGGAAUGCCCUGCGGUAUUUGUGUUUAUUCGUCGGGGAAUGCCCUGAAGUAUUUUGUACUCGGAGGACGUUCGUGAUGAAGGCCCGAGGUGGCGGGUGGAGCUUAGUUUAGAAUUAGUUUAGAAUAGAAUAGGUUUACAUUUUUGCAUUUGUCAUUAUUCGGGACUGUAUAAUUAAACUGAACACUACAUUUUGAAUUUGUUUUGUUUUGUGUGUUUGAUUGGUUGUUUUAUGUAUUUUUGUGUGGUUUAUACAUUUGUAAUGUCAAAUUAGCCGAUAUGCUCCACCAAGCGAUCGUGGUUGAAUCACGGGAUCGAGGGGUACCUAACACCUUCCCCUCGGUCAAUAGAAUUCCUUAGCUGAAAUCUCUGUUCGCAAACCAAUUUUUUUGAAAGAGUCAAAUCAUUUUGAAAAGGAUUUCCAAAGGUGACUUGGCACACCCGAUUAUGCCAAGUGGUGACUCUAAGUUUAAAUGUAAAUAAUGCUUUUCGAAAUAAAAAUUUUCAUCUUUUUGUCACUUUAAUAAUAAAAACUCCUUCGAAUCUUCAAAUCAAUCCUUUUGGAGUUAAAAAGGGGGUGUGACAUAUAUCACUUCUAAUAAGUUGAAUGGAUGAAAAAUUAUUAUAAUUCACAAUAAUUUAAAACUUAAAUUAUCUUUAAAAUAUAAUUGACUGUCAAUGCCACAAAAGAUUGAACAAGAAGAGUAGCAUAUACAAUUUAAAAAUUACAUAAAAAAGUACUAAAAAUUACAAUAGUUAACAACUUAAAAUAUCUAAAAACAUGUUAAAUAUAUGUACUUAAAAUAUCUAAAAACAUAUUAAAAAUAUGUUAAUUAUCUAAAUUUUAUUUGUGUCACAUAAAUUGAAGCAAAAAAAUAAUUUAUAUUGCACGGGCCUCAGUAUUACUACUAUUAAUAAGAGUGAAGAAGCAGGCAGCUCUUCGUCAAUAUGCCUGCUUCUUCACUUGCUUCAGCUGCUUCGUGAUUUUAUUAUAUUAUCUCUAAUUAAUUAUAUUAAGUUAUUUAUAUAUAAGAAAAUUAAUAAUACUUAAUUUUAAAAAAAUAAAAUAAACAUUUAUGAGAUAUCUGUUUCAGCUGCUUCAAUCGUAGUUUUAUUAUAUCACCUCAAAUUAAUUAUUAUAAGUCAUCU
rnacentral:lncRNA from 1 species